rnacentral:rRNA from 1 species
UACGUAGGGUCCGAGCGUUGUCCGGAAUUACUGGGCGUAAAGGGCGCGUAGGCGGUGUGUCAAGUCAGGCGUGAAAGCCCCGGGCUCAACCUGGGAACCGCGCUUGAGACUGGCACGCUCGAGUUCGGGAGAGGAUGGUGGAAUUCCCAGUGUAGAGGUGAAAUUCGUAGAUAUUGGGAAGAACACCGAUGGCGAAGGCGGCAUCCUGGACCGGCAUUGACGCUGAGGCGCGAAAGCUAGGGGAGCAAACGGG